AGGGCAUGGGGCAGAUGGCGCAGCCUUUCUUAUGGAGCAGCGAGGUGCUGCUGCCUGCGUUGCCAGCCUUUGCUAUCUUCAGUGCUCUGCGAGGGCGUGCAGUACUCUAAUCUUGUGCAAUAAAGGUUUCCUUAACAAAUCUACGGCUUGGACAUUGUUCAGAUGUGAUGACACAUUUGCCUGUGUGGCUUCUUGCAGAUGGCACGGAAAUUUUCUGAUCAAAUGAAAUGAUUCCAUGACUGUAAUUUCUACCUCCCUCUGCUGCUGUCCCUGUGGUGACUGCCAUGCCCAUCAGUCCCUGGGGAGCACCUCCCACCACUGCAGGGGAUUGGCCUUGGAACCCCCAGCAACACGGUGACAGAAGUGUUUGCAAAACAACCCGUUCCUGAAUACACACUGCCUGGUCCUAUUUCAGCUACCUUGGAAUAAAACAUCUGGUCUGGG
rnacentral:lncRNA from 1 species